rnacentral:rRNA from 1 species
UUCCCAGUGUAGCGGUGAAAUGCGUAGAUAUUGGGAAGAACAUCGGUGGCGAAGGCGUGCUACUGGACCGUAACUGACACUCAGGGACGAAAGCUAGGGGAGCGAAAGGGAUUAGAUACCCCUGUAGUCCUAGCUGUAAACGAUGGAAACUAGGUGUGGCUUGUAUCGACCCGAGCCGUGCCGUAGCUAACGCGUUAAGUUUCCCGCCUGGGGAGUACGCACGCAAGUGUGAAACUCAAAGGAAUUGACGGGGGCCCGCACAAGCGGUGGAGUAUGUGGUUUAAUUCGAUGCAACGCGAAGAACCUUACCAGGGCUUGACAUGUCGCGAAUCUCGGUGAAAGCUGAGAGUGCCUUCGGGAGCGCGAACACAGGUGGUGCAUGGCUGUCGUCAGCUCGUGUCGUGAGAUGUUGGGUUAAGUCCCGCAACGAGCGCAACCCUUAUUUUUAGUUGCCAGCAUUAAGAUGGGCACUCUAGAAAGACUGCCGGUGACAAACCGGAGGAAGGUGAGGACGACGUCAAGUCAGCAUGCCCCUUACGCCCUGGGCUACACACGUACUACAAUGGUUGGGACAAAGGGCAGCGACUCCGCAAGGAAUAGCGAAUCUCAUCAAACCCAGCCUCAGUUCAGAUUGCAGGCUGCAACUCGCCUGCAUGAAGGAGGAAUCGCUAGUAAUCGCAGGUCAGCAUACUGCGGUGAAUUCGUUCCCGGGCCCUGUACACACCGCCCGUCACACCAUGGAAGCUGGUCACGCCCGAAGUAGUUACCCUAACCUUUCGAGGAGGGGGAUUCCUAAGGCAGGGCUAGUGACUGGGGUGAAGUCGUAACAAGGUAGCC